rnacentral:rRNA from 1 species
CCUACGGGUGACAGCAGUCGAGAAUCAUUCACAAUGGGGGAAACCCUGAUGGUGCGACGCCGCGUGGGGGAAUGAAGGUCUUCGGAUUGUAAACCCCUGUCAUGUGGGAGCAAAUUAAAAAGAUAGUACCACAAGAGGAAGAGACGGCUAACUCUGUGCCAGCAGCCGCGGUAAUACAGAGGUCUCAAGCGUUGUUCGGAAUCACUGGGCGUAAGGCGUGCGUAGGCUGUUUCGUAAGUCGUGUGUGAAAGGCGCGGGCUCAACCCGCGGACGGCACAUGAUACUGCGAGACUAGAGUAAUGGAGGGGGAACCGGAAUUCUCGGUGUAGCAGUGAAAUGCGUAGAUAUCGAGAGGAACACUCGUGGCGAAGGCGGGUUCCUGGACAUUAACUGACGCUGAGGCACGAAGGCCAGGGUAGCGAAAGGGAUUAGAUACCCCUGUAGUC